rnacentral:tRNA from 2 species
GGAGAGAUGGCUGAGUGGUUGAAAGCGCUCCCCUGCUAAGGGAGUAUAGGUUAACGCCUAUCGGGGGUUCGAAUCCCUCUCUCUCCGCCA